rnacentral:rRNA from 1 species
UACGGGGGGGGCAAGCGUUGUUCGGAAUUACUGGGCGUAAAGCGCGUGUAGGCGGCUAAGUAAGUCGGGCGUGAAAUCCCACGGCUCAACCGUGGAAGUGCACCCGAUACUGCAUAGCUAGAGUCCUGGAGAGGAAGGUGGAAUGCUUGGUGUAGAGGUGAAAUUCGUAGAUAUCAAGCGGAACACCGGUGGCGAAGGCGGCCUUCUGGACAGUGACUGACGCUGAGACGCGAAAGCGUGGGGAGCAAACAGG